rnacentral:lncRNA from 1 species
CUUGCAGUAGAAGUUCAGAGUAGAGACCCGACUGGUGGAGCCCUUCCGUUGUCGAAAUUCAUUUGGGAUCCAUCCACUAUAGGAGUUCGACUGAAAUUCGAUUCUCGUAGGAGCUCGGAUGGAAUCCGAAAGGUGGUUGACUGUCGUAGAAACUUGGAUGGAGUCUGGUUACUAUAGAAAUCCCACUGUCAGAGAAGUUCAGACAUUGACAAAGUUCAAAAGAAGUUCGGAGUAGAGUCAUCCGUGGCCGAAAGAAGUCUAGAAGGGAUUCGAAGAAUAGUUGAUCACUGUAGAAAAUCGGCUGAUAGUGAAGCUCAAAAAAUGUUUGGAGCAGCCCGGUAGAUGAAUGGAGG